rnacentral:misc_RNA from 1 species
AAAGUCCCCCACCGCACAUCCGGUCACCUCGGUGCAGCACGCAAGGAGACAGAAAGAGAGAGACGCAGCGCCUCCUCCCGGCCCGACCUCGUCUCCCCCCUUCGUCGAAGCUCUCCACACGACUGUCUCGCGCAUCCCUUCCCUGCUCUGCUUCUCGCGUCCGCGUCCACACCCAUACGUACACCCCACAUAGAGCUUUCUCUUCGUUUGCUAUUGCGCUGCUUCUGAGCAGCGCCUGAAACCUCUAUAUUUUUUUUUUUAGAACUACUGAACCCCCACCAACCCUCACACCUGCCGCCCUCCAUGUUCCGCGCAGCUCGUCUUCUCCGCGGCGUUAGCCCCUUCUCCGUCUUCCUGAUGGACCAGAAGAACAACCCGUCGCUACAGGGCGUGUCGAUUGCGAAGCGCGGCAAGAUGCUCUCCAAGAUGUACAAGGAGCUCUCGCAGCAGCAGCGUCGCGAUCUACAGAAAAGAGCGCAGGUGCACCCAAGCCUGCGCAAGCGGAAGCGCGCAAGGCCGCCGCGCAAGACGGAAUUCGCCGAGUUUGUGCGUCAGAACUACAAGGUAGUGCAGGGUCUCAACUACCGCAAGCGCUUCUCUGCCUUGUCUCAGCUAUACGAGCUCCACAAGCCGAUCGAUGUGCAGGUGGCCAAAGCACUAAAAGAGGCAAAUGCCAGAAAGGUUACCUCGGCCAAGACCGCUGUGAAAAAGGCUGCCACCAAGCCCAAGACCGCCAAGAGAGCCAAGGCGGAGAAAAGCGCCGCGAAGAAGUCUGCCGGAAAAAAAUAGGGACGCUGCUCUUGGUGUCUCGUAUUUUGUUUUGUUUUGCGCGGUUGCUGCCGAAGCUGUGAGGCCGAAAAAGCGAGAUGGCGUACACCCGAUCUACGCGCUCCCUUGAUCAGGCGGGUCGUUCCGAGUACUCUUUCACCCUUUACCCGUCUUUUCUCCUCUUUACGUCUCCGGCGAGCGCUGCUCUGUGUUUUUGCUCUUGUUGGCUUGUUGGGAGGUCGAGGUCUACUGAGCAGGACUCGAGCGCGCCGCCUAACCCACCCGCCCGCCUGUGUGCUUGCUCGCCUUUCACCCUCUUGAGUUGCCCUCCUCUUUUUUUCGUCGUUAAGCAUGCUUUGUUUCCCCGUCGUUGUUUUAUUUAGAUUACUGCGCUUUUUCGUGUCCCGUACCCGCUCAACGCGAGGUUUGAUGCAGAGCGGGUCUGCGACUAGGAUUCCCUCGCUUCCUUUCCCUCCGCUUCCUUCUCCCUGUGUCUAUAUGUGCACGGCGCCCUGUCAUUGCCCUUGCCUGAUGAGCUUGAUCUGUGAGUCAUCGGUGUGCCAUCCAGCGAACUCGCACGCGCAACUCAUCCUAUUCUGCACGCGCCCAUCAACAGCACAUACACAGCAUGCCUUUGCCGUUCCAUGUGCUCUUGUUUUUGGUUGUUGUUUUUUCUCUCCUGGUCUUUUGUGUCUCUUGAUGUUACAUCUCUCUUUACUUUUCCUCGACCUCGACGGCACGCGUGUAUUUGUACGUAGAUGAUGACGGCCACCCCCAACCCCUCCUUUUUAUGUAUUUUCUCUGCAGAGGGGUGAGGGACCACGAGCGACGGCCUGUGCAGCUCUUGGCGAGCGAAGGAAAGGGAACUGAAUGCCCAUGGUGGCCAUUGCAAAUAGAAAAAAAAGUGGUGAAAGAUGGAGACGGAUUCAACUACCGCGUUCACGCUGUGUGUGUGGGUGUUUUUCCUACAAGGAAGCAGAUCGCCGUUAUCUGAGAAUAGAUCGGCGAUAAGGUCAGAGAUCGACUGAGCCGGUGCACAGGAACUCCCUAAAUGCGGUGAAACGAGAACCGAACGGGAGAGCAGGACGCCGCUAAAGCGCACGAAUGCACUGAAGAGUGAGGCCGUUGGCGGAGGCGGUACUCAUUUACAAGCACUUGUCUUUCAGGAGCCCGCGUGAGUCACCGUCACAAGGGUCACCGCGGAGGUGUGUAGCCGCUCAAAAGAUUUCUAUAGUAGAAGGCUCUGUUCAAGCGUACAGCUACCUGAUGAUGAGUCACCUCUCAGCGCACCUGCUCGCGUGUCUUGUCCUCUCCUCUCCAGCUGACCGCCCUCUGUCUCUCGCCCUGUCUAUUUCGUCCGCGCCUUCUGGUGUAGGAAUGUGUGCGCAUGCAUCGUCUUUGAACUCAUUCGCUCCUCUUCUUUUGUAGACGCUACCGACUGUGCUGGCGCACAUACAGCCUCUCCUCCUCUACCCUGUCUUCUCACUCUCGUUUUUCUCCCUUGAACGUCUCUGUCGUCGUGGCGCGACAGCGUCCUCCUCUGUCAUUCUUCUUCAGGUAUAGAUUUAGUUUUCAAGGCGUUUAUACGCGUGUCUGUGCGCGCUCAUGUGUGGUGCCUCUAGUGUUAGAUUGAGAUAUCGGCGCUUCUGUGUGCGUAGUGCGCGUUCUUCCUGUGUUCUUCUUCGCCGAGAGAGAGAGAGAGAGAACGUUUCAUAUAAAAAAAAAACGGCGAUGAAGGGAGAUGCAGCGAGGGUCGCGACGGCGCAUAGGGAACAACUUGAGGUGCGUGCGAGCAUGUUCGUUUUUGUUGUUGUUCUUCCCUUUUGCCCCAAAGGCCUUUGAACCUCAAUGCGUGCGACACCGGGAGAGGCAUACGAUUCAGCACGUUGUUACAUCGCCAUUCGUCCAUUGCGCCCGCGCCUCAUCUUCUGGGGUCACGAAUACUGUCGAGGUGUGUCCGUUUCGGGCGUAGCAUUCUGCUUUGCGUCCCUCACACACGGUGAUUCCACUCCAUUCCCUCCCUCGCUCUUUCCACUUCUGCCCUUGCUUGUCUGCGCGUCGUCGACCUUCUUUAUUCCGUCGUUCACACUCACAACUACGACGACUACCUUACUCCCUUCAUUUUCUUCGUUCCUUUUGCAUGCACGCACGCACGCACACACACACACACACACACACAUGCGCCGCUCACAG